rnacentral:rRNA from 1 species
CUACGGGUCGCUCCAGUGGGGAAUAUUGCACAAUGGGCGCAAGCCUGAUGCAGCCAUGCCGCGUGUACGAAGAAGGCCUUCGGGUUGUAAAGUACUUUCAGCGGGGAGGAAGGGAGUAAAGUUAAUACCUUUGCUCAUUGACGUUACCCGCAGAAGAAGCACCGGCUAACUCCGUGCCAGCAGCCGCGGUAAUACGGAGGGUGCAAGCGUUAAUCGGAAUUACUGGGCGUAAAGCGCACGCAGGCGGGUUGGUUAAGUCAGAUGUGAAAUCCCCGGGCUCAACCUGGGAACUGCAUCUGAUACUGGCAAGCUUGAGUCUCGUAGAGGGGGGUAGAAUUCCAGGUGUAGCGGUGAAAUGCGUAGAGAUCUGGAGGAAUACCGGUGGCGAAGGCGGCCCCCUGGACGAAGACUGACGCUCAGGUGCGAAAGCGUGGGGAGCAAACAGGAUUAGAUACCCCGGUAGUC